ACGGGUGCGUAACACGUGGGUAACCUACCCUAGAGUGGGGAAUAACGACCCGAAAGGGUCGCUAAUACCGCAUAUGCUCGAGAGAGUAAAGUGGCGCGCAAGCGACACGCUCUGGGAUGGACCUGCGUCCCAUCAGGUAGUUGGUGAGGUAACGGCUCACCAAGCCAAUGACGGGUAGCUGGUCUGAGAGGACGAUCAGCCACACUGGCACUGAGACACGGGCCAGACUCCUACGGGAGGCAGCAGUGAGGAAUAUUGCACAAUGGGCGAAAGCCUGAUGCAGCAACGCCGCGUGCGGGAUGAAGGCCUUCGGGUCGUAAACCGCUUUUCAAGGGGACGAGUGAGGACGGUACCUUUGGAAUAAGUCUCGGCUAACUACGUGCCAGCAGCCGCGGUAAAACGUAGGAGGCUAGCGUUAUCCGGAUUUACUGGGCGUAAAGCGCGUGUAGGUGGCUCGCUAAGUCGAAUGUGAAAGCCCCCGGCUUAACUGGGGGAGGUCAUUUGAUACUGGUGGGCUUGAGGACAAGAGAGGAGAGUGGAAUUCCCGGUGUAGCGGUGGAAUGCGUAGA
rnacentral:rRNA from 1 species